AUACAACUUUCAGCAACGGAUCUCUUGGCUCUCGCAUCGAUGAAGAACGCAGCGAAAUGCGAUAAGUAAUGUGAAUUGCAGAAUUCAGUGAAUCAUCGAAUCUUUGAACGCACCUUGCGCUCCUUGGUAUUCCGAGGAGCAUGCCUGUUUGAGUCUCAUGGAAUU
rnacentral:rRNA from 1 species